rnacentral:tRNA from 1 species
GGUCCGGUAGUUCAGUUUGGUUAGAAUACCUGCCUGUCACGCAGGGGGUCGCGGGUUCGAGUCCCGUCCGGACCG